rnacentral:rRNA from 1 species
UAAGGAAUAUUGCACAAUGGGGGAAACCCUGAUGCAGCAACGCCGCGUGGGUGAUGAAGGCCUUCGGGUCGUAAAACCCUUUUCUGGGGGAUGAGGAAGGACAGUACCCCAGGAAUAAGCUUCGGCUAACUACGUGCCAGCAGCCGCGGUAAGACGUAGGAGGCGAGCGUUAUCCGGAUUUAUUGGGCGUAAAGGGCAAGUAGGCGGUUGGGCAAGUUGUGCGUGACAAAACCCGGCUUAACUGGGUGGGGUCGUACAAUACUGUCUGACUAGAGGGCAGGAGAGGGAAGCGGAACUCCUAAUGUAGCGGUGGAAUGCUCAGAUAUUAGGAAGAACACCAGUGGCGAAAGCGGCUUUCUGGCCUGUACCUGACGCUGAGAGGCGAAAGCUAGGGGAGCGAACGG